AGUGAGAUAACUGGGUCAAAUGGUGGUUCCUUCUAAGUUUUUUGAGAAAUCUCUAUACUACUUUCCAGAGUGACUGCACUAAUUUGCAGUCCCACCAGCAAU
rnacentral:pre_miRNA from 1 species